AAGUCGUAACAAGGUUUCCGUAGGUGAACCUGCGGAAGGAUCAUUAACGAGUAAACAAGGGAGUUGUAGCUGGCCGCAAGGCAUGUGCACGCUCUCUACUCAAUCCAACCUUACACCUGUGCACCUAUUGUAGGUCGAGUGGCUGGACUUGUUCUGGCCGCUCUUCCUAUGUUUUACACAUACACUUGUAGUCUCAGAAUGUGAUCCGCGUAUAACGCAUUAUAAAACAACUUUCAACAACGGAUCUCUUGGCUCUC
rnacentral:misc_RNA from 1 species